UACGUAGGGAGCAAGCGUUGUCCGGAAUUACUGGGCGUAAAGGGUGCGUAGGCGGCGCAGUUAGUCAGAAGUGAAAUAUCGGGGCUUAACCCCGGGGCUGCUUCUGAUACUGCUGUGCUCGAGUGCAGGAGAGGUAAGUGGAAUUCCUAGUGUAGCGGUAAAAUGCGUAGAUAUCACGCAGAACGCCGAUUGCGAAGGCAGCUUACCGGCGCUCAACUGACGCUGAGGCACGAAAGUGCGGGUAUCGAACAGG
rnacentral:rRNA from 1 species